UGGGGAAUUUUGGACAAUGGGCGAAAGCCUGAUCCAGCAAUGCCGCGUGUGUGAAGAAGGCCUUCGGGUUGUAAAGCACUUUUGUCCGGAAAGAAAUCCUUGGCUCUAAUACAGUCGGGGGAUGACGGUACCGGAAGAAUAAGCACCGGCUAACUACGUGCCAGCAGCCGCGGUAAUACGUAGGGUGCAAGCGUUAAUCGGAAUUACUGGGCGUAAAGCGUGCGCAGGCGGUUUGCUAAGACCGAUGUGAAAUCCCCGGGCUCAACCUGGGAACUGCAUUGGUGACUGGCAGGCUAGAGUAUGGCAGAGGGGGGUAGAUUCCACGUGUAGCAGUGAAAUGCGUAGAGAUGUGGAGGAAUACCGAUGGCGAAGGCAGCCCCCUGGGCCAAUACUGACGCUCAUGCACGAAAGCGUGGGGAGCAAACAGGAUUAGAUACCCUGGUAGUCCACGCCCUAAACGAUGUCAACUAGUUGUUGGGGAUUCAUUUCCUUAGUAACGUAGCUAACGCGUGAAGUUGACCGCCUGGGGAAGUACGGUCGCAAGAUUAAAACUUCAAAUGAAUUGACGGGGUCAUAGCUGUUUCCU
rnacentral:rRNA from 1 species